rnacentral:rRNA from 1 species
GACGAACGCUGGCGGCGUGCUUAACACAUGCAAGUCGAACGGAAAGGCCCUGCUUUUGUGGGGUGCUCGAGUGGCGAACGGGUGAGUAACACGUGAGUAACCUGCCCUUGACUUUGGGAUAACUUCAGGAAACAGGGGCUAAUACCGGAAAGGAGCUCCUGCUGCAUGGUGGGGGUUGGAAAGUUUCGGCGGUUGGGGAUGGACUCGCGGCUUAUCAGCUUGUUGGUGGGGUAGUGGCUUACCAAGGCUUUGACGGGUAGCCGGCCUGGGAGGGUGACCGGCCACAUUGGGACUGAGAUACGACCCAGACUCCUACGGGAGGCAGCAGUGGGGAAUAUUGCACAAUGGGCGGAAGCCUGAUGCAGGAACGCCGCGUGCGGGAUGACGGCCUUCGGGUUGUAAACCGCUUUCGCCUGUGACGAAGCGUGAGUGACGGUAAUGGGUAAAGAAGCACCGGCUAACUACGG